UACGUAGGUGGCAAGCGUUAUCCGGAAUUACUGGGUGUAAAGGGAGCGCAGGCGGGAUAGCAAGUCAGCGGUGAAAUGCAUGGGCUUAACUCAUGAGCUGCCGUUGAAACUGUUAUUCUUGAGUGGAGUAGAGGCAGGCGGAAUUCCGAGUGUAGCGGUGAAAUGCGUAGAUAUUCGGAGGAACACCAGUGGCGAAGGCGGCCUGCUGGGCUCUAACUGACGCUGAGGCUCGAAAGUGUGGGGAGCAAACAGGAUUAGAUACCCUGGUAGUCCACACUGUAAACGAUGAUUGCUAGGUGUGGGGGGUCUGACCCCCUCCGUGCCGGAGUUAACGCAAUAAGCAAUCCACCUGGGGAGUACGGCCGCAAGGUUGAA
rnacentral:rRNA from 1 species